AUGCAUGCUAGGAUUAGUAGUUCCUCCAUCCCGCAGGGCUCAGGGUCAGGGCGGAGCUCAGGUUGAUUCCGUAGCACAGAACUACAAUUCCCGUGGUGCCACGCAGCAGAAAGAAAGGGGCGGGACGUGAGGGGGCGCUUCGCGCCUGCGCAGGCCCCAGGGCCAGAGGGAGGCGGAGGCGAGGCGGUCCAACUGCUGAAGUCCCCAUGUGACAGUGAACGGGGUCCCAGCUCCAGGAGACGCUCGAAUCCGCGUCCCAGCCCUCAGCAGUGUCCACUGUUCCGGUGCCAGCGGAGACCAGCAGGCCCGGGACACUUGGUGCUUGGCAGUGCAGCUGUCUAACUUGGUGUGCAGAGUGAAUUGUUGCUGCUGGAGCGGAGAGAGGCGGAGCGGCCAGGAGAGUGGGGAUUUCUGUCAGCGUCGGCGCUCCAAGCUCGGAGACAUGAACGGCUUCACGCCUGACGAGAUGAGUCGCGGUGGGGAUGCGGCCGCCGCAGUGGCCGCAGUGGUCGCUGCUGCGGCUGCCGCCGCCUCAGCGGGGAACGGGACCGGCGCUGGCGCCGGGGCCGAGGUGCCUGGCGCGGGGGCGGUGUCAGCGGCGGGGCCCCCGGGGGCGGCUGGGCCGGGCCCCGGGCAACUGUGCUGCCUGCGGGAGGAUGGCGAGCGGUGCGGCCGGGCGGCGGGCAACGCCAGCUUCAGCAAGAGGAUCCAGAAGAGCAUCUCCCAGAAGAAGGUGAAGAUCGAGCUGGAUAAGAGCGCAAGGCAUCUUUAUAUAUGUGAUUAUCAUAAAAACUUAAUUCAGAGUGUUCGAAACAGAAGAAAGAGAAAAGGGAGUGAUGAUGAUGGAGGUGAUUCACCUGUUCAAGAUAUUGAUACCCCAGAGGUUGAUUUAUACCAAUUACAAGUGAAUACACUUAGGAGAUACAAAAGACACUUCAAGCUACCAACCAGACCAGGACUUAAUAAAGCACAACUUGUCGAGGCUUAACUCCUUCUGGACUCACUGAGGCUGGCAGUAUGGGGAGAAGCAGCAGCUGGUUUCAGCCUUCACAGUUCACACCUCCCUGGGAGAGCCCUGUUUGGUAGCCUGUCUGUGUACAUCUGUGGAAGUGAGCUGCACACCCUGAGUCGGUGUUUCUCAUUUAUCUGGAUAUUUGAGGUUGGGUCCCAGGAAAUGAAGCAGAGAAAACAAACAACAACAACAACAACAACGACAACACCGGUGUCUGGUUUCCUCAUCUCCUACCCUCCCCCACUUCUUGCACGUUCAACUCCGUCCACUGCAUAUCUGCCUCUCUACUCCAGGUACUUUAAUCUUCACGAGCACACAGACUCUAACCUGGGAAUGCUGAAACAUUCACUGAGUGACUUUUCCAGUGAGGAAAAUGAGAGGAAGGGAGUUUGCCCAUUUGCACAGCAGAGCUGCCCUUCGCGUGUUGAUGUGACGAAUCCGUGAGCCCCGGCACAUCGCUACUCCGUAUUUCUGCCUAUCUGCCGUCUAGCAGUCCGUACGGUUUUUGUGUGGUAUGUUUUCUGUCUUGAAUUUGGCUUCAAUGUGGAAAAAGCAAACGUAAGAAUCACAUUUCUAGCUGGGUGUGGUGGCUCACGCCUAUAAUCCCAGCACUCUGGGAGGCUGAGGUGGGUGGAUCAUGAGGUCAAGAGAUCGAGACUAUCCUGGUCAACAUGGUGAAACCCCGCCUCUACUAAAAAUACAAAAAUUAGCUGGGCAUGGUGGCGCACGCCUGUAGUCCCAGCUACUUGGGAGGCUGAGGCAGGAGAAUUGCUUGAACCCAGGAGGCGGAGGUUGCGGUGAGCCAAGAUCACGCCAUUACACUCCAGCCUGGGUAACAAGAGCGAAACUCUUGUCUCAAAAAAAAAAAAAAAAAAAGAAUCGCAUUUCUUCUUUAGCUCAACAGAAGGGACUUUUCAUCACUAGCAAUGAAAGGUAAAGGAAAACAAAAAGAAUCUCUGAAUCUCCAAAGCAUAGAACAACCAUGCUUUUAAAGUGCUGCUUUCUAAUGUACGAUGACCAACUGCCUUUUUAUUCUGUAUCCUGUCUGAGAGCCCAGUGCGAAUGCCCUGGUUCUGAGAUAAUGAUUUCUUGCAUAGGGUCUCAGGUAGCCUAUAGAAAGAGGCACCUUUCGCCGGUCAAACACCGUGCUGCCCCAUGGCACACAGCCAGGACGGAGGAGCGCAGACUGAACCUUAGCUGCACUGGCUGCCCUGGCCAGGUACUCUCACAGACUGGUCAGCCUACACCACUAUAGGUAAUGGCCUUUUCUUGGCAUAUCUGGCUCUUGGACCAGAGUUUUGGUUGUAGUAGCUGCUAAAAAUUGGGAAAUCUUUCCUUUCCUCCCAGGUCCUUGUCUGUUUUCUACCACCUGCUCUCUGGGUGUCUCGUCCCCUCCCUCCCAACUUUUGCUGUUUUCUCAUCCAUCAGAUCUUCUUCCAGGAAAAUUAUCUCAUUUCCAUUUAUGUCCCCAUGUCCAACCUGAGCAGACAGGCAAACACAAGCCCCCCAACUUCCUAAGGCCCUCUCACUUAUGUCUGUUUUCAUCUUUCUAGUUUCCCAUUGAUUUCCAGGGCAAGUAGCUGAUGCCCUUUGGCACCAGUGAAGAACUUGCUUUUCCCAGACCAGGUCAAUGUAUCUACCUACCUCUUGAGUUUUGUGAUAAUUCGCUUGCCAAAUAUGGGGAGUGGCCUUCAGAAAGUUUUCCUUGGAGUAAACGACAUAUAAAUAUCUUGACUGUAGAAAUCUAGGUAUACUCUGUAAGCCCAUGUGCUCCGUGUGAAUGUGUGUGUUUCCAUGUAUAGAUGAAAAGGGUAACUAACUACUUAAUGCAGUAUAAAACGAGUUUCAUGGCAGCAUGAUCUGGUGAAAAGUACAUAGGCCAUAGGACAAAACAGAUCCGGGCUAAACUGCAGCCUUUCCACUUACUACCCACAUGACUGUGGUCGAGGCCCUUAAUCAUCCUAUGUUUCAGUUUCCUUGUAUAUGAAAGGGGAAUAAGGCUUAAAUUGCAGGGUUGUGCAUUACUUUAUCAGGGCUGCCAUAACAAAGUACCACUGGGUGGCUUCAACAACAGAAAUUCAUCGUAUCACAGUUCCAGAGGCUAGAAGUUGGAAAUCAAGGUGACAGCAGGCUCCCUCUAAGGGCUGGGAGGAAAGGAUUUGCUCCAGGUGUCUCUCUUAGGCUUGCAGACGGCAUUCUCCCCUGUGUAUAUCUCUGUGUCCAAAUUACCCCCUUUUUUAAGGACGCCAGUUAUAUCAGUUUAGGGUUCACCCUAAUAAUCUCACUUUAACUUAGUUACCUCUAUAAAGAUCCCAUCCCCAAGUAACACCACACUCUGAUGUAGUGGGAUUUAGGGCUCUAACAUAUGUCUUUUGCUGGGGACACAACUCAACUCAUAACAGUUUGCUGAAAGAGUUAAGAAUGGGCUGGAUGUGGUAGCUCACACCUGUAAUCCCAGCACUUUGAGAGGCCGAGGUGGGUCAGGAGAUCGAGACCAUCCUGGCUAACACGGUGAAACCCCACCUGUACUAAAAAUACAAAAAAAUUAGCCGGUGUAGUGGCAUGUGCUUGUAGUCCCAGCUACUUGGGAGGCUGAUGCAGGAGAAUCACUUGAACCCAGAAGGUGGAGGUUGUAGUGAGCCGAGAUUGUACCAUUGCACUCCGGCCUGGGUGACAGAGCGAGACUCUGUCUCAAAAUAAAAAAAAAAGAAAGAAAGAAAGAAAAGAGUUAUGUAUGGUAACUUACAUGAAGCAGCAAACAGAAAUCCUGGAGUAUAAGAACUACUUAAUAAUUAGCAGAUACUAUAGUUAUUAAUGAUUCGUCCUCUAUUCUUUUGGAAUGGUUACUCUGGGAUUAAAUGGACAUGUGUAUAGAUGACCUAUACCUAUGUAUAAAUAAAAGUGUGUAAAUAUCAGAAAAUGUUAGACACAAGAAUCAAUUAUUGAAGAUAAAAGAAAGGCUUUAUGCAUAUGUUUGGGGUGGAGGAGGGGGAAAGCACAGGGAUACAGGAUAGAUGGUGAAUAAAUGUGAUAGAACGUGUCCAGAUUGAUGGAUUUGGGGUUAACACUCCAUUUUACUUCACUUUGGAAACAGGUCAAAGGGAGACAGAAAUGGAAUCAAGCUUUAAUCUUGAACAAUAUAAUAUAACAAAACUUUUUUCUUUGAUUUUGAGAACAGAAAGACUCAAACCGUAAUCAGUCAACCCGCAGCAUCACUGGGGAAGUGUUUACUAGAGUAACAAUUUGAAGCCUCUGUGGGAUUUAAAACGAUGCACUUUCUGCAGCACUUUAGGCUUCCAUGUGUUAGUGGAAGAGAAAUUCUCACUGUUAAUUUAACUAGAAAGGGGAAAAUUAUAUUUGUUAGUUCAUGAAGAGAGACAUCUCAUUUGAUCUUGAACUUCCCCCUCAGGACACCCUCCAUGGGGGUUGUACUCCUAAGACAAUGCAGUGGAAUGCAUGGCAGAGGGGAGUCUUCAGGAAGAGGAGGGUUGUUUGUAAGAAUCUGCUCUCAAUUAAGAAUAGGGCCAGAGGAAAUACCUUUGAAUUGCAGAAGGAAGAAUUUAGUCUAGGUCCAAAUCCUACUUACUGCAUGGAUAACCAGUAAAAUAGAUGCCCACGAGAGGCUAACCAAUGCCUUUUUAAAGGAAGAUCUGUAAAAUAUUGAUAGACAUUGCAUUGCUAAAACUCAAAAAUCAUAAGCCCUUCUGAAUAUUCUAGCCAGCAUAUGAAAUUUGCAUUCCCUUACUCACUUUUCCAAUGUCACUCUUAAUUUUUUUCUAUAUAAUUCCUCUAUUCUUACUCAAUUCAAUAAAAUAACAUGCUUUUAAAAAAGUAAAUGCCCAUUGAUGAUAGACUGGACAGGGAAAAUGUGGUACAUAUACACCAUGGAAUACUAUGCAGCCAUAAAAAACGAUGAGUUUGUGUCCUUUGUAGGGACAUGAAUGAAACUGGAAACUGUCAUUCUCAGCAAACUGACACAAGAACAGAAAAUCAGACACCUCAUGUUCUCACUCAUAGGUGGGUGUUGAACAAUGAGAACACAUGGAUACAGGGAGGGGAGCAUCACACACUGGGUCUGUGGGGGUGAACUAGGGGAGCGGCAGUGGGCGGUGGGGAGUUGGGGAGGGAUAACAUGGGGAUAAAUGCCAGAUAGAGGUGACGAGGAGGGAGGCAGCAAACCACACUGCCAUGUGUGUACCUGUGCAACAAUCUUACUUGUUCUUCACAUGUACCCCAAAACCUAAAAUGCAAUAAAAAAAAGUGUUGGGUUUGACUAAAUUGA